UCGAUUCAGCGGCGGACGGGUGAGUAAUACCUAGGAAUCUGCCUGGUAGUGGGGGACAACGUUUCGAAAGGAACGCUAAUACCGCAUACGUCCUACGGGAGAAAGCAGGGGACCUUCGGGCCUUGCGCUAUCAGAUGAGCCUAGGUCGGAUUAGCUAGUUGGUGAGGUAAUGGCUCACCAAGGCGACGAUCCGUAACUGGUCUGAGAGGAUGAUCAGUCACACUGGAACUGAGACACGGUCCAGACUCCUACGGGAGGCAGCAGUGGGGAAUAUUGGACAAUGGGCGAAAGCCUGAUCCAGCCAUGCCGCGUGUGUGAAGAAGGUCUUCGGAUUGUAAAGCACUUUAAGUUGGGAGGAAGGGUACUUACCUAAUACGUGAGUAUUUUGACGUUACCGACAGAAUAAGCACCGGCUAACUCUGUGCCAGCAGCCGCGGUAAUACAGAGGGUGCAAGCGUUAAUCGGAAUUACUGGGCGUAAAGCGCGCGUAGGUGGUUUGUUAAGUUGAAUGUGAAAUCCCCGGGCUCAACCUGGGAACUGCAUCCAAAACUGGCAAGCUAGAGUAGGGCAGAGGGUGGUGGAAUUUCCUGUGUAGCGGUGAAAUGCGUAGAUAUAGGAAGGAACACCAGUGGCGAAGGCGACCACCUGGGGCUCAUACUG
rnacentral:rRNA from 1 species